GAUGCAAUAAGGAAUUAAUGGAUAGUAAUUGGUUUCAGAUCAUUCCUCCUGGUCAGGCAUUAAUGUGGGCAUGCAAUCCUUCAUUAAUCCAAAGUCAUGUACAAAACACUAGCUUGUUAGGAGAUGAAAAGUAUUCAGUGAAUGAACCAGAUUUCAGCCAAGACCAUUAAGGAAUUUUAUUCUUGAGAGAGUACAAAUGUUUUUGCACGUCUUUGCUCAAAGCUUUUAGGAUGAUUUAAGUUUCUUCGAAGCUUGCUUGGAAAAAAGUUUGGUGAUCAAAUUUCAGAUAUUGUUAGCAUCCAAGUGCUCUUGGGUUUGUAAACCAGAAAUGUCAAUCCAAACUGAAGCUUUUGAUAGUGAUAUCAGAGCCCUUGAUGCUGGUGAUCAAAUUCUCAAAUCAAGUUACUAGCCUUUUGAUUGCUUCAGAUUUCUGAAGCCAAAGUCUUUGUGCUCUAAAUUCAGUUCUUGGCCAUGUAAUCUUGUCAUGCUUAGAUAGCUAUAUCUAGUGUCCUGCCAGCUUAAUUUUGAUGCGUAAGUAUCAAUUAUUAAAAGUUAGAUUCAUUCUGAUGCUCAAAAUGAGCCGUUUUCUCCUAUUUUGAAAUACCAAUUUCAUAUCAAAUGUCUUGUGCAUGUAGAUUUUGCUGUUUACUUCAAAUUGGACUGGCUUACUUGAUGAGCAGAACUCGAAAAGCAACUCAAAUACUCAUGUUAUACAAUACUCAGCACACGGUUUUUUAGGCUUUAAAACGUCAUUAAUGAAAGUUACCCAUUCGGUUGUUUA